GGCCCCGUGGUGAAAUUCAUGAUGGGUUGCAAGCUCAUUGAUGUACGUUAGGGCGUACCGGGGUCU
rnacentral:tRNA from 1 species